rnacentral:rRNA from 1 species
AACGCGAAGAACCUUACCUAGACUUGACAUCUCCUGAAUUACCUUUAAUCGGGGAAGUCCCUUCGGGGACAGGAAGACAGGUGGUGCAUGGUUGUCGUCAGCUCGUGUCGUGAGAUGUUGGGUUAAGUCCCGCAACGAGCGCAACCCUUAUUGUUAGUUGCUACCAUUUAGUUGAGCACUCUAGCGAGACUGCCCGGGUUAACCGGGAGGAAGGUGGGGAUGACGUCAAAUCAUCAUGCCCCUUAUGUCUAGGGCUACACACGUGCUACAAUGGCCGGUACAAAGAGAUGCUAAACCGUGAGGUGGAGCUAAACUAUAAAACCGGUCUCAGUUCGGAUUGUAGGCUGAAACUCGCCUACAUGAAGCUGGAGUUGCUAGUAAUCGCGAAUCAGCAUGUCGCGGUGAAUACGUUCCCGGGUCUUGUACACACGC